GACGAACGCUGGCGGCGUGCUUAACACAUGCAAGUCGAACGGGCCUUGUCCCCUUUUUUUUUGGGGGUGGGGUUAAUGGCGAACGGGUGAGUAACACGUGAGUAACCUGCCCCUCACUUCUGGAUAACCGCUUGAAAGGGUGGCUAAUACGGGGUGUUCUGGCCUGCUCGCAUGGGUGGGUUUGGAAAGAUUCGACCGGUUUUGGUUGUUUUGGUGGGGGAUGGGCUCGCGGCCUAUCAGCUUGUUGGUGGGGUGAUGGCCUGCCAAGGCUUUGACGGGUAGCCGGCCUGAGAGGGUGGGCGGUCACACUGGGACUGAGACACGGCCCAGACUCCUACGGGAGGCAGCAGUGGGGAAUAUUGCACAAUGGGCGCAAGCCUGAUGCAGCGACGCCGCGGGAGGGAUGGAGGCCUGCGGGUUGUGAACCUCUUUCGCCAGUGAAGAAGGUCCUGCUCUUUGUGGUGGGGUUGACGGUAGCUGGGUUAAUGAAGCGCCGGCUAACUACGU
rnacentral:rRNA from 1 species